rnacentral:rRNA from 1 species
GCUCAGUAACACGUGGAUAAUCUACCCUUAGGACCGGGAUAACCCUGGGAAACUGGGGAUAAUACUGGAUAGGCAAUUAUUCCUGUAAUGGUUUUUUGUUUAAAUGUUUUUUCGCCUAAGGAUGAGUCUGCGGCCGAUUAGGUAGUUGGUUAGGUAAUGGCUUACCAAGCCGUUGAUCGGUACGGGUUGUGAGAGCAAGAGCCCGGAGAUGGAACCUGAGACAAGGUUCCAGGCCCUACGGGGUGCAGCAGGCGCGAAACCUCCGCAAUGUGAGAAAUCGCGACGGGGGGAUCCCAAGUGCCAUUCUUAACGGGAUGGCUUUUCAUUAGUGUAAAGAGCUUUUGGAAUAAGAGCUGGGCAAGACCGGUGCCAGCCGCCGCGGUAACACCGGCAGCUCUAGUGGUAACAAUUUUUAUUGGGCCUAAAGCGUCCGUAGCCAGUUUAAUAAGUCUCUGGUGAAAUCCUGCAGCUUAACUGUGGGAAUUGCUGGAGAUACUAUUAGACUUGAGACCGGGAGAGGUUAGAGGUACUCCCAGGGUAGAGGUGAAAUUCUGUAAUCCUGGGAGGACCGCCUGUUGCGAAGGCGUCUAACUGGAACGGUUCUGACGGUGAGGGACGAAAGUUAGGGGCGCGAACCGGAUUAGAUACCCGGGUAGUCCUAACUGUAAACGAUGCGGACUUGGUGUUGGGGUGGCUUUGAGCUGCUUCAGUGCCGAAGGGAAGCUGUUAAGUCCGCCGCCUGGGAAGUACGGUCGCAAGACUGAAACUUAAAGGAAUUGGCGGGGGAGCACCACAACGCGUGGAGCCUGCGGUUUAAUUGGAUUCAACGCCGGACAUCUCACCAGAGGCGACAGCUGUAUGAUAGCCAGGUUGAUGACUUUGCUUGACUAGCUGAGAGGAGGUGCAUGGCCGCCGUCAGCUCGUACCGUGAGACGUCCUGUUAAGUCAGGCAACGAGCGAGACCCACGCCCUUAGUUACCAGCUUAUCCUUUUUUGGAUGAUGGGCACACUAAGGGGACCGCCUAUGAUAAAUAGGAGGAAGGAGUGGACGACGGUA